AUGCAUCAGGAGGGGACACCACUGGACACAGGGACGGGGGACAGAGCACUGGACACAGGGACUGGACAGAGCACUGGACACAGGGACAGGACAGUGCACUGGGCACAGGGACAAGGGACAGAGCACUGGGCACAGGGACAGGGGGACAGAGCACUGGGCACAGGGACAGGACAGAGCACUGGACACAGGGACAGGGGACAGAGCACCGGACACAGGGACGGGGGACAGAGCACUGGACACAGGGACAGGAGGACAGUGCACUGGACACAGGGACAGGGGACAGAGCACUGGACACAGGGACAGGACAGAGCACUGGACACAGGGACAGGGGACAGAGCACUGGACACAGGGACGGGGGACAGAGCACUGGACACAGGGACAGGAGGACAGUGCACUGGACACAGGGACGGGGGACAGAGCACUGGACACAGGGACAGGAGGACAGAGCACUGGACACAGGGACAGGGGACAGAGCACUGGGCACAGGGACAGAGGACAGAGCACCGGGCACAGGGACAGGAGGACAGUGCACUGGACACAGGGACAGGGGACAGAGCACUGGGCACAGGGACAGAGGACAGAGCACUGGGCACAGGGACAGGGGGACAGGGCACGGGGACAGGGGACAGGGCACUGGGCACAGGGACAGGGCACUGGGCACAGGGACAGGGGACAGGGCACGGGGACAGGGGACAGGGCACUGGGCACAGGGACAGGGGGACAGGGCACGGGGACAGGGGACAGGGCACUGGGCACAGGGACAGGGCACUGGGCACAGGGACAGGGGACAGGGCACUGGGCACAGGGACAGGGGGACAGGGCACAGGGACAGGGGACAGGGCACUGGGCACAGGUACACGGAGCGUGAUAUGUAUGAAAUCCUGGAGAAACCAGGGUGGGGACACCCCGGCAGGAGCAGCCCGCAGCCAGGCAGGCAGGGAGGUCAGAGUGCGACCGAGGUGGGGCUGGGUCAGCCUGGGGCUCCCAGGGGCACACGGCGCCCACCUCCCCAGCACACACAGGAGGCAGCCGGAGGCUCCAAGGUGGGUGGAAGUCAGGGAGCAGGAGCAGGCAGCGCCGCAGGCAGGGAGAGGCCACGGAGCAGCUCCCCCAGGUCUGGCCCCUGCGCCUGUCCCACCUGCGAGACCUGAAGGAGCCGCAGGGAGCCCAGGCACCGGGAGGGCGCAGGGCCCCAAGCACAGCUCCCCUGGGUGGGGGUGCUGCUGGCUCUGUACCUCCCGGCGUCCACGCAGAAACAAAACUAACAGGGCUCCCUCCCAUCAGGGCAGCAGGCCUGGCUGA
rnacentral:lncRNA from 1 species